GCUACACAUGCAGUCGAGCGGCAGCACGGGGAGCUUGCUCCCUGGUGGCGAGCGGCGGACGGGUGAGUAAUGCAUAGGAAUCUGCCCGGUAGUGGGGGAUAACCUGGGGAAACCCAGGCUAAUACCGCAUACGUCCUACGGGAGAAAGCAGGGGCUCUUCGGACCUUGCGCUAUCGGAUGAGCCUAUGUCGGAUUAGCUGGUUGGUGAGGUAAUGGCUCACCAAGGCGACGAUCCGUAGCUGGUCUGAGAGGAUGAUCAGCCACACUGGGACUGAGACACGGCCCAGACUCCUACGGGAGGCAGCAGUGGGGAAUAUUGGACAAUGGGCGCAAGCCUGAUCCAGCCAUGCCGCGUGUGUGAAGAAGGCCCUCGGGUUGUAAAGCACUUUCAGCGAGGAAGAAGGCUUGGCGGCUAAUACCCGUCAAGAAGGACAUCACUCGCAGAAGAAGCACCGGCUAACUCCGUGCCAGCAGCCGCGGUAAUACGGAGGGUGCGAGCGUUAAUCGGAAUUACUGGGCGUAAAGCGCGCGUAGGUGGUUUGGCACGCCGGUUGUGAAAGCCCCGGGCUCAACCUGGGAACGGCAUCCGGAACGGCCAGACUAGAGUGCAGGAGAGGAAGGUAGAAUUCCCGGUGUAGCGGUGAAAUGCGUAGAGAUCGGGAGGAAUACCAGUGGCGAAGGCGGCCUUCUGGCCUGACACUGACACUGAGGUGCGAAAGCGUGGGUAGCAAACAGGAUUAGAU
rnacentral:rRNA from 1 species